ACUCACCUCCUGAGGUGCUGAAGGACCCUGUGCUGCCUGUGACCUCGCUCCUGAACACCCGCCCCCGAGAUGUCCUGCCAGCAGAGCCAACAGCAGUGCCAGCCUCCUCCCAAGUGCACCCCCAAGUGCCCUCCCAAGUGCCCCGCCCCUAAGUGCCCCCCCAAAUGCCCCCCUAAGUGCCCUCCAGUGUCUUCCUGCUGCAGCGUCAGCUCUGGGGGCUGCUGUGGCUCCAGCUCUGGGGGCUGUUGCAGUUCCGGGGGAGAUGGCUGCUGCCUGAGCCACCACAGGCGCCGCAGGUCCCACCGCCACAGACCCCAGAGCUCUGACUGCUGCAGCCAGCCCUCAGGGGGCUCCAGCUGCUGCGGAGGGGGCUCCAGCUGCUGUGGAGGGGGCAGCAGCCAGCAUUCUGGAGGCUGCUGCUGAAGCGGACCCUGAGCCUAGAAGAGGAGACGUGGGUGAAAGGAGUGAUCAGAUAGAUAUUUCCUCCUCAUCUUUCUCCUCCUGGGCCUGCGUGAGUGGCUGAGAUGCCCUGGUGAAGGCUCUGAGCUCUGGCCUGGAGGAUCCCUCUGCGCCAGGGAUCCAGAAGUUUGAUUCUUCUCCCACAGACCUAUCUGUGUUGUCUACUAUGGGAUCCCAAACCGCAGACUCAGAUUCACUCUCCAGCUCAUUUCCUGCAGCCACAAGUGAAACAAUAAAGCAAAAGCUCUUCUUGCCAUUUA